AACGUAUGGGGCGAGCGUUGUCCGGAAUUACUGGGCGUAAAGGGCGCGUAGGCGGUUCUUUAAGUCAGAGGUGAAAACUGUCGGCUCAACCGGCAGCCUGCCUUUGAAACUGGAGGACUUGAGGGCAGGAGAGGGGAGUGGAAUUCCCAGUGUAGCGGUGAAAUGCGUAGAUAUUGGGAGGAACACCAGUGGCGAAGGCGGCUCUAUGGCCUGUUACUGAAGCGGAGGCGCGCAAGCGUGGGGAUCACACAGGAGGCGAUAACACUGUAGUCC
rnacentral:rRNA from 1 species